GUCGAACGCUUUGUGGUUCAACUGAUUUGAAGAGCUUGCUCAGAUAUGACGAUGGACAUUGCAAAGAGUGGCGAACGGGUGAGUAACACGUGGGAAACCUACCUCUUAGCAGGGGAUAACAUUUGGAAACAGAUGCUAAUACCGUAUAACAAUGACAACCGCAUGGUUGUUAUUUAAAAGAUGGUUCUGCUAUCACUAAGAGAUGGUCCCGCGGUGCAUUAGCUAGUUGGUAAGGUAAUGGCUUACCAAGGCGAUGAUGCAUAGCCGAGUUGAGAGACUGAUCGGCCACAAUGGGACUGAGACACGGCCCAUACUCCUACGGGAGGCAGCAGUAGGGAAUCUUCCACAAUGGGCGAAAGCCUGAUGGAGCAACGCCGCGUGUGUGAUGAAGGGUUUCGGCUCGUAAAACACUGUUGUAAGAGAAGAAUGACAUUGAGAGUAACUGUUCAAUGUGUGACGGUAUCUUACCAGAAAGGAACGGCUAAAUACGUGCCAGCAGCCGCGGUAAUACGUAUGUUCCAAGCGUUAUCCGGAUUUAUUGGGCGUAAAGCGAGCGCAGACGGUUAUUUAAGUCUGAAGUGAAAGCCCUCAGCUCAACUGAGGAAUUGCUUUGGAAACUGGAUGACUUGAGUGCAGUAGAGGAAAGUGGAACUCCAUGUGUAGCGGUGAAAUGCGUAGAUAUAUGGAAGAACACCAGUGGCGAAGGCGGCUUUCUGGACUGUAACUGACGUUGAGGCUCGAAAGUGUGGGUAGCAAACAGGAUUAGAUACCCUGGUAGUCCACACCGUAAACGAUGAGUGCUAGGUGUUUGAGGGUUUCCGCCCUUAAGUGCCGCAGCUAACGCAUUAAGCACUCCGCCUGGGGAGUACGACCGCAAGGUUGAAACUCAAAGGAAUUGACGGGGACCCGCACAAGCGGUGGAGCAUGUGGUUUAAUUCGAAGCAACGCGAAGAACCUUACCAGGUCUUGACAUCCCUUGACAACUCCAGAGAUGGAGCGUUCCCUUCGGGGACAAGGUGACAGGUGGUGCAUGGUUGUCGUCAGCUCGUGUCGUGAGAUGUUGGGUUAAGUCCCGCAACGAGCGCAACCCUUAUUACUAGUUGCCAGCAUUCAGUUGGGCACUCUAGUGAGACUGCCGGUGACAAACCGGAGGAAGGUGGGGAUGACGUCAAAUCAUCAUGCCCCUUAUGACCUGGGCUACACACGUGCUACAAUGGCGUAUACAACGAGUUGCCAACCCGCGAGGGUGAGCUAAUCUCUUAAAGUACGUCUCAGUUCGGAUUGUAGGCUGCAACUCGCCUACAUGAAGUCGGAAUCGCUAGUAAUCGCGGAUCAGCACGCCGCGGUGAAUACGUUCCCGGGUCUUGUACACACCGCCCGUCACACCAUGAGAGUUUGUAACACCCAAAGCCGGUGGGGUAACCUUC
rnacentral:rRNA from 1 species